GGAGUUAGCCGGUGCUUCUUCUGUGAGUGAUGUCCUUCCUGCCGGCUAUUAACCCGCAGGCCUUCUUCCUCACUGAAAGUGCUUUACAACCCGAAGGCCUUCUUCACACACGCGGCAUGGCUGGAUCAGGGUUGCCCCCAUUGUCCAAUAUUCCCCACUGCUGCCUCCCGUAGGAGUCUGGGCCGUGUCUCAGUCCCAGUGUGGCUGAUCAUCCUCUCAGACCAGCUACGGAUCGUCGCCUUGGUGAGCCGUUACCUCACCAACCAGCUAAUCCGACAUAGGCUCAUCCGAUAGCGCGAGGCCCGAAGGUCCCCCGCUUUCCCCCGUAGGGCGUAUGCGGUAUUAGCCUGGGUUUCCCCCAGGGUUUAUCCCCCGACUACCGGGCAGAUUCCUAUGCAUUACUCACCCGUCCGCCGCUCGCCACCAGGGAGCAAGCUCCCCGUGCUGCCGCUCGACUUGCAUGUGUUAGGCCUGCCGCCAGCGUUCAAUCUGAGCCAGAAUCGAACCCUGA
rnacentral:rRNA from 1 species